rnacentral:misc_RNA from 1 species
GUUUUUCCUCCUUUUUUUUUCCCAAUAAUGUCCAAACAGACGUACAGAGUCUGUUUCUGUUUCCGGCGACGGUUCCGGGUAGUCGCCGCCGAGGCUCCGGCGGAUGUGAAGAAUUUGUUCAAUCGGUACUCCGAUAAUGGAGUGAUGAGCGCGGAUAAUCUACAUCGAUUUUUAAUUGAGGUUCAAAAGGAGGAAAACGCUACUUUAGAGGAUGCUCAUGCUAUUAUGAAUAAUCUUCAUGAUCUUAAGAUCCUCAAUAUUUUUCAUAGGAGAAGUCUUCAUCUUGAUGCGUUCUUCAAAUAUCUUUUUGCUGAUAUUAAUCCUCCUCUUAAUUCUAAGCUUGGGAUUCACCAAGAUAUGAAUGCGCCUUUGUCUCAUUACUUCAUAUACACAGGCCACAAUUCUUAUUUAACUGGGAAUCAGUUGAGUAGUGAUUGCAGUGAUGUUCCCAUUAUACAGGCCCUGCACAGAGGUGUAAG